AUAUUGUUUUGGCGUUGGUGUUUUGGUGUUGGUGUUUUGGUGUUGAUGGAUUUAGGUGAGAAUACCUUGAAUCCCUUCUGAGUUUGUCAGGUGGGCAUUCUCGUGGCAAAUAAUGAGGGAUAAAUUACCCUAGGGAGCAAGACCCAAGAACAGUUAGAGCUCUAGUCUGGCGCCAUCUAGUACUCAUGACUGGGGAAAAUCCUGCAGGUGGUAGAGACGGUGAGCAGGAGAAUUAAGGUGAGGAGCAGGAGGCUCAUUGGUGGAUCCACAGACUGUAAAGUGUGGUGUGAGAGUGUUGGUGAGUGUUAGACUUCCGCUGUGUGAAAUAAGCUCUGAGGAGCAUAUUAUGUAAAAUGAUGAUUGUUCAUUUAUGUUGUGAGUUUGUAAUGUAAUAUUUGACUCAGAAGAGUUGAGUCAUUAUUGACAUUGUGGUUCGGAACAGUGGUGUUGUAUCAAGAAAGAAAAGUUUAAAUUUCUAGGUACUUUUGUUGAAGGUUCCGAGCUUCGCGUCCCGGAUUGUUGGUUGUUC